AGCGGCGGACGGGUGAGUAAUGCCUAGGAAUCUGCCUGAUAGUGGGGGACAACGUUUCGAAAGGAACGCUAAUACCGCAUACGUCCUACGGGAGAAAGCAGGGGACCUUCGGGCCUUGCGCUAUCAGAUGAGCCUAGGUCGGAUUAGCUUGUUGGUGAGGUAAUGGCUCACCAAGGCGACGAUCCGUAACUGGUCUGAGAGGAUGAUCAGUCACACUGGAACUGAGACACGGUCCAGACUCCUACGGGAGGCAGCAGUGGGGAAUAUUGGACAAUGGGCGAAAGCCUGAUCCAGCCAUGCCGCGUGUGUGAAGAAGGUCUUCGGAUUGUAAAGCACUUUAAGUUGGGAGGAAGGGCAGCUAGCGAAUACCUGGUUGUCUUGACGUUACCGACAGAAUAAGCACCGGCUAACUCUGUGCCAGCAGCCGCGGUAAUACAGAGGGUGCAAGCGUUAAUCGGAAUUACUGGGCGUAAAGCGCGCGUAGGUGGUUUGUUAAGUUGGAUGUGAAAGCCCCGGGCUCAACCUGGGAACUGCAUCCAAAACUGGCAAGCUAGAGUAUGGUA
rnacentral:rRNA from 1 species